UGAAGAUGGGAAGGAGAUGGUCAUGUGU
rnacentral:piRNA from 1 species